CCUACGGGCGGCAGCAGUGGGGAAUAUUGGUCAAUGGGCGAAAGCCUGACCCAGCAACGCCGCGUGAAGGAAGAAGGCGCUCGGGUUGUAAACUUUUUUUGACAGGGAAGAGCAGAAGACGGUACCUGUCGAAUAAGCCACGGCUAACUACGUGCCAUCAGCCGCGGUAAUACGUAGGUGGCAAGUGUUGUCCGGAUUUACUGGGUUUAAAGGGCGUGUAGCCGGGCUGAGAAGUCAGAUGUGAAAUCCGGGGGCUCAACCCCCGAACUGCCUUUGAAACUGUUGGUCUUGAGUAUCGGAGAGGCAGGCGGAAUUCGUGGUGUAGCGGUGAAAUGCGUAGAUAUUAGGAAGAACACCGGUGGCGAAGGCAGCCUGCUGGACGACAACUGACGGUGAGGCGCGAAAGCGUGGGGAGCAAACAGGAUUAGAUACCCUGGUAGUC
rnacentral:rRNA from 1 species